rnacentral:rRNA from 1 species
AUUGAACGCUGGCGGCAUGCCUUACACAUGCAAGUCGAACGGCAGCACGGGUGCUUGCACCUGGUGGCGAGUGGCGAACGGGUGAGUAAUACAUCGGAACGUACCUUAUCGUGGGGGAUAACGCAGCGAAAGCUGUGCUAAUACCGCAUACGCCCUGAGGGGGAAAGCGGGGGAUCGGAAGACCUCGCGCGAUUAGAGCGGCGGAGGCCCGAUUAGCUUGUUGGUGGGGUAAAAGCCCACCAAGGCGACGAUCAGUAGCUGGUCUGAGAGGAAGAUCAGCCACACUGGGACUGAGACACGGCCCAGACUCCUACGGGAGGCAGCAGUGGGAAAUUUUGGACAAUGGGGGCAACCCUGAUCCAGCAAUGCCGCGUGAGUGAAGAAGGCCUUCGGGUUGUAAAGCUCUUUUGUCAGGGGAGAAACGCCGGCUCUAACACAGUCCGGGAAUGACGGUACCUGAAGAAUAAGCACCGGCUAACUACGUGCCAGCAGCCGCCGUAA